AUUGAACGCUGGCGGCAGGCCUAACACAUGCAAGUCGAGCGAGCGGCGCACGGGUGAGUAUUGUCUGGGAAACUGCCUGAUUUAGGGGGAUAACUACUGGAAACGGUAGCUAAUACCGCAUACCAUCGGAUGUGCCCAGAUGGGAUUAGCUGGUAGGUGGGGUAAAGGCUCACCUAGGCGACGAUCCCUCGCUGGUCUGAGAGGAUGACAAGCCACACUGGAACUGAGAAACGGUCCAGACUCCUACGGGAGGCAGCAGGGGGGAAUAUUGCACAAGGGGCGAAAGCCUGAUGCGGCCAUGCCGCGUGUAUGAAGAAGGCCUUCGGGUUGUAGAGUACUUUCAGCGGGGAGGCGUUACCCGCAGAAGAAGCACCGGCUAACUCCGUGCCAGCAGCCGCGGUAAUAC
rnacentral:rRNA from 1 species